UACGUAGGUGGCAAGCGUUAUCCGGAAUUAUUGGGCGUAAAGCGCGCGUAGGCGGUUUCUUAAGUCUGAUGUGAAAGCCCCCGGCUCAACCGGGGAGGGUCAUUGGAAACUGGGGAACUUGAGUGCAGAAGAGGAGAGUGGAAUUCCAUGUGUAGCGGUGAAAUGCGCAGAGAUAUGGAGGAACACCAGUGGCGAAGGCGGCUCUCUGGUCUGUAACUGACGCUGAUGUGCGAAAGCGUGGGGAGCGAACAGG
rnacentral:rRNA from 1 species